AUUGAACGCUGGCGGCAUGCCUUACACAUGCAAGUCGAACGGCAGCACGGGAGCAAUCCUGGUGGCGAGUGGCGAACGGGUGAGUAAUAUAUCGAAACGUGCCCAGUCGUGGGGGAUAACGCAGCGAAAGCUGUGCUAAUACCGCAUACGAUCUACGGAUGAAAGCGGGGGAUCGCAAGACCUCGCGCGAUUGGAGCGGCCGAUAUCAGAUUAGCUAGUUGGUGAGGUAAAGGCUCAACAAGGCGACGAUCUGUAGCUGGUCUGAGAGGACGACCAGCCACACUGGAACUGAGACACGGUCCAGACUCCUACGGGAGGCAGCAGUGGGGAAUUUUGGACAAUGGGCGCAAGCCUGAUCCAGCAAUGCCGCGUGCAGGAUGAAGGCCUUCGGGUUGUAAACUGCUUUUGUACGGAACGAAACGGUGAACUCUAAUACAGUUUGCUAAUGACGGUACCGUAAGAAUAAGCACCGGCUAACUACGUGCCAGCAGCCGCCGUAA
rnacentral:rRNA from 1 species